ACGGGUGAGUAACGCGUAUCCAACCUGCCGUCUACUCUUGGACAGCCUUCUGAAAGGAAGAUUAAUACAAGAUGGCAUCAUGAGUCCGCAUGUUCACAUGAUUAAAGGUAUUCCGGUAGACGAUGGGGAUGCGUUCCAUUAGAUAGUAGGCGGGGUAACGGCCCACCUAGUCUUCGAUGGAUAGGGGUUCUGAGAGGAAGGUCCCCCACAUUGGAACUGAGACACGGACCAA
rnacentral:rRNA from 1 species